CAGAGACCAGAUUCAGAUGCUGAGGUCAUGCCUUUAUGACUCACCCCACACACCCAGAAGUGCGCUUUAGUUAUCCCCCAGGCAGCUCCCAAGCCAUUCCACAUUGACAAGCUUAACUGUCACAGAAGAAGACAAGCAUUUCCUUUCUGUCUUAGAGCCAUCCUGAUCACUUCUGUGACAUCAGUUUGUUACCACAGAAACACUCGUGGGGACCCAAAGUUAGCAUUUAGAUUUCAUAUUAGAAAGCAGACCUUUAUUUUCUUUACACAGUAGGUACACAAGAUGCACUACGAAAAGAAAACACAUCUUGUUUGAGUUCAAAGCUAACAAUUUACAAAAGUGGAGAUAAAAACUUUAAGAACCUAUGGAAAAAAAAUAGGGCUUUCUGCAGUAGUUUUUCAUCUGUCCUUUAAAGCAAGGCAUCUCGAAUUUACAAUAUGCUUCUAAACAAAGUACCUGAUUUGUAAUAAAGAAAAAUGUAUACAGAAUGAAGCUAAUACAUAUAGAAUUAUAUGUGGAAUUCAGCUAGUAUUUGUCAUGCUUUGCUCAUCAAUUUGUCUUCAGAAGGUUAAAAAAUAAUGAAAACUGGGUUCCUGAAGAAACACACAAGUUGAUUGGAUGCCAGAUUUGUUUUUCUCCUCACAUUUAACAGAAAGAACAACCUGGAAGCCCUGCAAUGAAGUUUCACACUUUUGCAUGAAAACAUCAUACUUAAAAUCUCUUCUUCUAAGAAGGAGCACAUGUG
rnacentral:lncRNA from 1 species